AAGUCGUAACAAGGUUUCCGUAGGUGAACCUGCGGAAGGAUCAUUAACACGUACCGUGAACCUUCAUCCUGCUCUUGUAACCCGCGUAGUUCGCAAUCUCUGAUAAAUCAUAGCCCGGAAAGUUGUAGUGAUUCAGAGACCUCUGAAUAUCCUUGGGUGGUCGCGGUUGGUAAGGCAAGUGACCCGGUACCCUCAAGACCAGUGUUCAAUGAUCUGUCAGUGUUCAUUGACUGGAAUCAAACGUUCUGUCAGUGUGCGUUUGAUUUGCAAGGGUGGCGCAGUAAACGAUCGCUGGAGGCCGACACGGCCGGCGACUGGGUCAGCGAGCUCUGCUCCCACUGUUACUACUUACAAGAUUUCCCAAUUAGUGAAAGCUAUUGGGCUAUAACUAAACGACUGUUAACAAUGGAUAUCUCGAUUCUC
rnacentral:misc_RNA from 1 species